rnacentral:rRNA from 1 species
GAUGAACGCUAGCGGCAGGCUUAAUACAUGCAAGUCGUGGGGCAGCAUGAGUGUAGCAAUACAUUUGAUGGCGACCGGCAAACGGGUGCGGAACACGUACACAACCUUCCUUCAAGUGGGGAAUAGCCCAGGGAAACUUGGAUUAAUACCCCGUAAUAUUAUGGAGUGGCAUCACUUUAUAAUUAUAGCUCCGGCGCUUGAUGAUGGGUGUGCGCCUGAUUAGGUAGUUGGCGGGGUAACGGCCCACCAAGCCUUCGAUCAGUAACUGGUGUGAGAGCACGACCAGUCACACGGGCACUGAGACACGGGCCCGACUCCUACGGGAGGCAGCAGUAAGGAAUAUUGGUCAAUGGACGCAAGUCUGAACCAGCCAUGCCGCGUGAAGGAUGAAGGCCCUCUGGGUUGUAAACUUCUUUUAUCUGGGAAGAAAUUCUACUUUUUCUAAAGUGG